rnacentral:ncRNA from 19 species
CUGAAACCGGAUAACCUUGUUUCCGGCCAAUUGGGCCACGGUCCGGUGAACGGAAAACGGUCGAAAUCCGUUGCGAGUCCGUCGCUGUAGCCGGGGACGACCGCCGCAAAAUGCCGCCAACUGUGCCAGGGGGCAGGGCAAGAAAAGCCAGGGCAGGCCAUGGUAAGUAAGCUAAGCUAAGCCAGGGCAUUGAAAGACAAGGGAAGGCGCGGCGCGAGAAUGAUCCGGAAGCCAGAAGACGUUGCCGGUCUGUUGUUUGAACC